AUGCAUCAGGAGAUCAGCGAAGUCCGACGCGCUGAUCAUGGUAACCUCCGCCGGCCGCAACAGCAGCUUGACAAAGCCAAAAGACGUCGUUGCCGAUCUCGGCCAAGCAGCCGGAGCAUGCAGGUUGCGAUGCUUCACCUAGACCAGCGCCUCAAUGGCGGAUGCAGACUUGGGCUGGCUGCCGUUGUGUCCAUCGGCCGUUUCACAGCCAUCGUCACCGUCCAUAUGCUCCAGCUUCUACGUCGUCGUCACGCCUCCCUAGCAUGUGUGUUGUGCUCUGUUGUUACCGGCCAAUCGAUCCAGCAGCUAGCUAGAUGCUACAUGCAUGCCCGGCUUGAGAAUCAAUCAAGGUGCUUUACGUCGUGUACUCGUGUCUUGCCGUAUGUGAGUUGCAUGUACGUGCUUCUUUGA
rnacentral:rRNA from 1 species